rnacentral:rRNA from 1 species
CCCUUAGAUGUUCUGGGCCGCACGCGCGCUACACUGACGGAGCCAACGAGUAUUUUCCUUGUCCGGAAGGACUGGGUAAUCUUGUGAAACUUUGUCGUGCUGGGGAUAGAGCAUUGUAAUUAUUGCUCUUCAACGAGGAAUUCCUAGUAAGCGUGAGUCAUCAGCUCGCGUUGAUUACGUCCCUGCCCUUUGUACACACCGCCCGUCGCACCUACCGAUUGGAUGGUCCGGUGAAGCCUCGGGAUUGUGGUUCUUGCCGCUUUAUUGUGGCGUGACCGCGAGAACUUGUCUAAACCUUAUCAUCUAGAGGAAGGUGAAGUCGUAACA